rnacentral:rRNA from 1 species
UAGUGGCGAACGGGUGAGUAACACGUGGGCAAUCUGCCCUGCACUCUGGGACAAGCCCUGGAAACGGGGUCUAAUACCGGAUAAUACUGUGCCCCUCAUGGGGGACGGUUNAAAGCUCCGGCGGUGCAGGAUGAGCCCGCGGCCUAUCAGCUUGUUGGUGGGGUAAUGGCCUACCAAGGCGACGACGGGUAGCCGGCCUGAGAGGGCGACCGGCCACACUGGGACUGAGACACGGCCCAGACUCCUACGGGAGGCAGCAGUGGGGAAUAUUGCACAAUGGGCGAAAGCCUGAUGCAGCGACGCCGCGUGAGGGAUGACGGCCUUCGGGUUGUAAACCUCUUUCAGCAGGGAAGAAGCGAAAGUGACGGUACCUGCAGAAGAAGCGCCGGCUAACUACGUGCCAGCAGCCGCGGUAAUACGUAGGGCGCAAGCGUUGUCCGGAAUUAUUGGGCGUAAAGAGCUCGUAGGCGGUUUGUCACGUCGGGUGUGAAAGCC